GCUGGCGGCGUGCCUAAUACAUGCAAGUCGAGCGAACGGACGAGAAGCUUGCUUCUCUGAUGUUAGCGGCGGACGGGUGAGUAACACGUGGAUAACCUACCUAUAAGACUGGGAUAACUUCGGGAAACCGGAGCUAAUACCGGAUAAUAUUUUGAACCGCAUGGUUCAAAAGUGAAAGGCGGUCUUGCUGUCACUUAUAGAUGGAUCCGCGCUGCAUUAGCUAGUUGGUAAGGUAACGGCUUACCAAGGCAACGAUGCAUAGCCGACCUGAGAGGGUGAUCGGCCACACUGGAACUGAGACACGGUCCAGACUCCUACGGGAGGCAGCAGUAGGGAAUCUUCCGCAAUGGGCGAAAGCCUGACGGAGCAACGCCGCGUGAGUGAUGAAGGUCUUCGGAUCGUAAAACUCUGUUAUUAGGGAAGAACAUAUGUGUAAGUAACUGUGCACAUCUUGACGGUACCUAAUCAGAAAGCCACGGCUAACUACGUGCCAGCAGCCGCGGUAAUGCGUAGGUGGCAAGCGUUAUCCGGAAUUAUUGGGCGUAAAGCGCGCGUAGGCGGUUUUUUAAGUCUGAUGUGAAAGCCCACGGCUCAACCGUGGAGGGUCAUUGGAAACUGGAAAACUUGAGUGCAGAAGAGGAAAGUGGAAUUCCAUGUGUAGCGGUGAAAUGCGCAGAGAUAUGGAGGAACACCAGUGGCGAAGGCGACUUUCUGGUCUGUAACUGACGCUGAUGUGCGAAAGCGUGGGG
rnacentral:rRNA from 1 species